rnacentral:lncRNA from 1 species
UUAUUCUUGUGCCUUGUCGUCAAUUUGGCCCUGCGGCACAAAUUAAACAUCUCGCUUUCAUCGAUCUUUUUGUACUGCUUAUUGUGACGAUAUCGCUGAGAAAGCGAUAACGGCGAAAAUAAGGGAGUUAUAAAUUGGUUCGAGCAGACAAACCACCCUGUGCCCCGACUACAGCGACCCACAAUGGGAACUUUUGGUAUCGGAAGCCUACCCCAAAUUGGAAACACAAGGACCAUAACGCGGAGUGAAACACUCAAAAAGGCGCUAAAUACGAAAUACACCCAAUACUUCUGAAAGCCAUGUGCACUAAGUACAAGCAUACAAGCAUUAUUUUACAAAAUUAUCCAAGAUCGCUAAAGAAGUUGAAGAACAUAUCAUUGUUUAUAUGUUUGCGGCUACUCAUGGCUGCAGAAUUUGCGGCUGCGACGGAUUCAUCGGAAAACAUGUCUGGUCUGGAAUAUCUGUUUCAGCAUCUAUCUUCUUCGUCAGCUCAACUCAAGCUGCCCAGCCGAGAGUUCUCUCUGAAUGUGAAAAAAGGUUCCGAUGGCGAGCAGCCUCAAAGUUUCGGAUUUAACCUUACAAACGGAAAAUUAUUGCAGAAAAGCGGCGCUCAGAAAACUGCCGACUCGCCAAAUAAUUGUCAAUACAGAAACGAUGACGCCAUA